AGAGUUUGAUCCUGGCUCAGAAUCAACGCUGGCGGCGUGCCUAACACAUGCAAGUCGAGCGAGAAAGUGGAGCAAUCCAUGAGUAAAGCGGCGCACGGGUGAGUAACACGUGACUAACCUACCCUCGAGUGGGGAAUAACUUCGGGAAACCGAGGCUAAUACCGCAUAAUACCCACGGGUCAAAGGAGAAAUCCGCUUGA
rnacentral:rRNA from 1 species